rnacentral:rRNA from 1 species
UGGCGGCACGCCUUAUACAUGCAAGUCGAACGAAGUAGCAAUACUUAGUGGCAGACGGGUGAGUAACAUGUGGGUAUCUUCCCUUUGGUGAGGAAUAACACGAGGAAACUUGUGCUAAUACCUCAUAAGUCUUUACGGAGAAAGCUUUAUGCGCCAAUGGAUGAGCUCGCACUUGAUUAGUUUGUUGGUGGGGUAAUGGCCUACCAAGACUUUGAUCAAUAGCUGAUUUGAGAGGAUGAUCAGCCACAUUGGGACUGAGACACGGCCCAAACUCCUACGGGAGGCAGCAGUAAGGAAUCUUGCACAAUGGAGGAAACUCUGAUGCAGCGAUGCCGCGUGAGUGAAGAAGGCCCUUGGGUUGUAAAGCUCUUUCGUCGGGGAAGAAAAUGACUGUACCCGAAUAAGAAGGUCCGGCUAACUUCGUGCCAGCAGCCGCGGUAAUACGAAGGGACCUAGCGUAGUUCGGAAUUACUGGGCUUAAAGAGUUCGUAGGUGGUUAAAAAAGUUGGUGGUGAAAUCCCAGAGCUUAACUCUGGAACUGCCAUCAAAACUUUUUAGCUAGAGUAUGAUAGAGGAAAGCAGAAUUUCUAGUGUAGAGGUGAAAUUCGUAGAUAUUAGAAAGAAUACCAAUUGCGAAGGCAGCUUUCUGGAUCAUUACUGACACUGAGGAACGAAAGCAUGGGUAGCGAAGAGGAUUAGAUACCCUCGUAGUCCAUGCCGUAAACGAUGUGUGUUAGACGUUGGAAAUUUAUUUUUCAGUGUCGCAGCGAAAGCGAUAAACACACCGCCUGGGGAGUACGACCGCAAGGUUAAAACUCAAAUGAAUUGACGGGGACCCGCACAAGUAGUGGAGCAUGUGGUUUAAUUCGAAGAUACGCGCAGAACCUUACCAACACUUGACAUGUUCGUCGCGACUUUAAGAGAUUAAAGUUUUCGGUUCGGCCGGACGAAACACAGGUGCUGCAUGGCUGUCGUCAGCUCGUGUCGUGAGAUGUUGGGUUAAGUCCCGCAACGAGCGCAACCCUCACUUUUAGUUGCCAUCAUUAAGUUGGGCACUCUGAAAGAACUGCCAGUGAUAAGCUGGAGGAAGGUGGGGAUGACGUCAAGUCCUCAUGGCCCUUACGUGUUGGGCUACACACGUGCUACAAUGGUAUUUACAAAAGGAAGCAAAACGGCGACGUUUAGCAAAUCCUAAAAAAAUACCUCAGCUCGGAUUGCACUCUGCAACUCGAGUGCAUGAAGCUGGAAUUACUAGUAAUCGUGGAUCAGCGUGCCACGGUGAAUGCGUUCCCGGGUCUUGUACACACCGCCCGUCACACCAUGGGAGUUGGUUCUACCUUAAGGCAAGGUUUAAAACCCUUGACCACGGUAUAGUCAGCGACUGGGGUGAAGUCGUAACAA